CAACUGUGUUGGGUAGGGCCAGGAGAAACGCACCAAACUAAGCCCUCAAAGGCAUCUGGGACAUAAGCAAAGAUGGCGACUCUAGAUGAUGCCCUUUGCAAUGUUCACCAACUUGCAACCAUCAACAUUCCCGAUGAACAGCCUCAAAUUGAAGCACCUCCUGCCUCGAUUACUUACAUUUCAAACUUUGACACAAACUUUGAGGAUAGCAAGGCUUUCAUUACAUGUAUCAGCAAGUAUUUGGAAGAGGCGGAUGUGCACAAGGGCUUGAAUGAGAUGCUUGAAGAAGGUGGAAGGUAUGCAGUGAUGUUGUACACAUGGAGAAGCUGUUCACGUGCAGUUCCUUCGGUUAAAAGUGAUGACCAGCCAAACAGAAUUGAAAUCUACGAGAAGACGGUGGAAGUACUAGAACCAGAAGUGCGCAAAUUGAAGAGCUUUAUGCAUUUCGCACAAAAUGCUGUUGCUAGGUUCUGCAAGGAAGUGAAAACUCUGAGUCACCCAGAAAGAAGAAAAGAUUUCAUAUCAGAAAGAUAUCUUUUGACUCUUGGAAAAUUCAUCAACAUGUUUGCAGUGUUGGAUGCGUUGAAAAAUAUGAAGGCAUGCCUUAACAAUGAUUAUGCUUUCUAUUAGGUUAUGGGCUUCCUGAUUUUUCUGAUGGAUGGUAAAGAGAGCAACAUUCUAAAGAUGGAUCAAAAGAAAAGGAUCAGUAUCAGCAAAAUAGACAAGAUAUUCAAGCAAUUUCCAGUAGUGCCUCUGUUUGGAGAUGUUCAAAUUGCUCUGGUUAGUUACCUUAAGAUGUGUCCGCACUUUGAUGGCAUGAAAGAGAAGUGGGCAGUAGCUGCAGAGGGAGCAGAAGACAAGGUGGUAGUUCAAUACAAUCUCCUUGGAAAGAUGGACAGUAUAAGAGAGGAGCAUGUCAAGUUUAUCAGUGAACUGGCUCGUUACAACAAUGAGGUAAGAAGACGGGCAUCCAUGUCUUUAGGUGAGGCAAUGCAGUCCUGAGAGUCGGUAAUUAACAAU